CCAGUUGUUCAUUGUUGGAAACAGAACUCCAUUAAGUUGUAUACAAGGAAGCAUUUGUAUGGGUGUAAUGACCAUGCUCCAAUCUAUCCUGCAGAACCAACUUGCAGUAUGAUGGAAGAGAUAGUGGUACUCUGUUCAUGGGAAUAUUUUCCAUAUCGUACGAUAUCAUCAGAGACUAUAAUUAUGUUUCACUUCCUAGAGGGAAAGUGAGGAGUUCUUAGUUGUUCAUACCAGGAUGCAUUUCUGUGCAAUUGGUGCACUUUUAUUGCCUAAUAACACAUCUCCUUAUAUCCAUACAAUGCACAGAGUGUUUUGUGGAGUGUGGCUAGUCCCUGUUGUUGAGAACGAAAAAGAUUGAAAGAAUCAACCAAACAAAGAGUGUUAGGAUUUUUAUGUCUAACCCGUACCCAGACCAGUUUACAACACCGAACACUUCACCCGUUUUGAAACAAAGUAAAAUUUACUGAUCGUGAUCCUCAUUACUGCGUGCAUAGUUUCAAAUAGGAUCGAGACACGACGUUCUAAACAGGAUACAGAAUAAAGAGAUAAUCAAGUUUGGUUUUUUUCGUCACAUCUCGACUCUUCACAGAGUAGUCGUGUACGGGGACUGUCAAAUAGCAUGGAUUGCAUAAUAUUGGUAUACGAUAACCAUAAUAAAAUAUUGGCAGAUCGUAGGGGAAAAGUGUGUUGAAGAAGGAGAAUAAAGAGAAAAGUUGAAUCAA